UGCGUAGGCGGAAUAUUAAGUCAGUGGUGAAAUCCUGCGGCUCAACCGUAGAACUGCCAUUGAUACUGAUAUUCUUGAAUGUAGUUGAGGUAGGCGGAAUGUGUAAUGUAGCGGUGAAAUGCUUAGAUAUUACACAGAACACCGAUUGCGAAGGCAGCUCACUAAACUAUGAUUGACGCUGAGGCACGAAAGCGUGGGGAGCGAACAGGAUUAGAUACCCUGGUAGUCC
rnacentral:rRNA from 1 species